rnacentral:rRNA from 1 species
UUGGAGGGCAAGUCUGGUGCCAGCAGCCGCGGUAAUUCCAGCUCCAAUAGCGUAUAUUAAAGUUGUUGCAGUUAAAGAGCUCGUAGUUGAAUUUCGGGGUUAGUAGGUUGGUCAUGCCACUGGUAUGUACUGGUCUCACUGAUUCCUCCUUCCUGAUGAGACGUAAUGCCAUUAAUUUGGUGUUGCGAGGAAUCUGGACUGUUACUUUGAAAAAAUUAGAGUGUUUAAAGCAGGCUAACGCUUGAAUACAUUAGCACGGAAUAAUGAAAUAGGACGUUCGAUCUUAUUUUGUUGGUUUCUAGGAUUGACAUAAUGAUUAAUAGGGAUAGUUGGGGGCAUUAGUAUUCAAUUGUCAGAGGUGAAAUUCUUGGAUUUAUUGAAGACUAACUACUGCGAAAGCAUUUGCCAAGGAUGUUUUCAUUAAUCAAGAACGAAAGUUAGGGGAUCGAAGACGAUCAGAUACCGUCGUAGUCUUAACCAUAAACUAUGCCGACUAGGGAUCGGAUGAUGUUAAUUUUUUAAUGACUCAUUCGGCGCCUUACGGGAAACCAAAGUGUUUGGGUUC